UAAAAAGUAAGUAUUUAAAUAAUAGACUUCUAAUCUUUUAUUGUUAGAUUUACAAUCUUUCCUUUUUAU
rnacentral:tRNA from 1 species